CUUCAGUGACGAUCCGAUGACGAGUCGGAACAGGACUCUGAUCUGGUUCUGGUGGUUCCUGGUGCAGAGUCACGUUCUGUGGUUUUGCUCCAGUUCCUCAGAGCAGGGAGUCCUUUACAGUUGAAGACAUCGAGGCAUUUGUCUGAGAAGG